rnacentral:rRNA from 1 species
AACGAACGCUGGCGGCAUGCCUAACACAUGCAAGUCGAACGAGACCUUCGGGUCUAGUGGCGCACGGGUGCGUAACGCGUGGGAACCUGCCCUUAGGUUCGGAUUAACUCCCCGAAAGGGGUGCUAAUACCGGAUAAUGUCUUCGGACCAAAGAUUUAUCGCCUUUGGAUGGGCCCGCGUUGGAUUAGCUAGUUGGUAGGGUAAAAGCCUACCAAGGCGACGAUCCAUAGCUGGUCUGAGAGGAUGAUCAGCCACACUGGGACUGAGACACGGCCCAGACUCCUACGGGAGGCAGCAGUGGGGAAUAUUGGACAAUGGGCGAAAGCCUGAUCCAGCAAUGCCGCGUGAGUGAAGAAGGCCUUAGGGUUGUAAAGCUCUUUUACCCGGGAUGAUAAUGACAGUACCGGGAGAAUAAGCUCCGGCUAACUCCGUG